UACAGAGGUCCCAAGCGUUGUUCGGAUUCACUGGGCGUAAAGGGUGCGUAGGCGGCCGUGCAAGUCUGGCGUGAAAGCCCCGGGCUCAGCCCGGGAAGUGCGCUCGAAACUGCGCGGCUCGAGUGUCGGAGGGGAGAGUGGAAUUCCUGGUGUAGCGGUGAAAUGCGUAGAUAUCAGGAGGAAUACCGGUGGCGAAAGCGACUCUCUGGACGGCAACUGACGCUGAGGCACGAAAGCGUGGGGAGCAAACAGG
rnacentral:rRNA from 1 species